UUUCCGUAGGUGAACCUGCGGAAGGAUCAUUAUUGUAUAACCGAGUUGCUAUGGCUGUCGCUGACCCGAAUGGUCGUGCAUGCCCGAGUGCCCUGACACUCAUCCAUUUUACCCCUAUUUGCACCACCUCUUGGGUCCCCCUUUGGUUUUUUCGGGGGGGGUCUUACUUUUUCACACAAACCUUUUAUGCAUUGUAGAAUGGAUUUUUUGUUUUUGUCAGCACGCAACAAAUAUAACUUUCAACAACAGAUCUCUUGCCUCUCUCACCGAUGAUGAACG
rnacentral:misc_RNA from 1 species